rnacentral:ncRNA from 2 species
CAUCCCACCUCGGGGUGCCAGCGUCGCUGGCUGAGAUGCGCUUUGCGAACCCGUUGAACCUGAACCGGUUAACACCGGCGGAGGGAAGGUCUGGACUCGCUCC